AAUACCGCGGCCCUUUAAAAUCUUUCAGUGGGCAGAUUAGACUUUAAAUUAUAAUCAAAAAGACAUGUUUUUGUUAAACAGGCGAACAUUAAUUUGCCAAGUUCCUUAAUUUAACCUUUCAAUUAAUUUAUUUUAAACAAUUAAAUAUACUAAUUUUAUCAUUAUUUUAAUUUUUAUAUAAUUUUAAAAAUUAUUUUAAUAAAAACUUAAAUUAAUAAAAAUUAUUUUUAAUUUAAAAUAAAUUAUAACAUUUUCAUAAAUAAUGACUAUUUCUAAGCCUAUAUUUUUUAAACUAAAAAAUUAUUAUAAAAUUUAUUUUAAAGCUUAUCCCUUAAAAUAUUAAUUAUUAAUAAUAAUUUAUUAAUUAAAUAAAUAAUUACUAUUAAUAAUCUAAAUUUAAUUUAUUUCUUAAAAAACUAGAUAUAUUUAAAAACGAAUAACAUUUCAUUUCUAAUUUAUUAUUUUACAUUUUUAUGAAACAAAAAAUUAAAUAAUAAAUUAACUCUUUUAAAUUCGAGAAAAAUUAAAUUUUUAACUUUUAAUUAAUAAACCCUGAUACACAAGGUACAAUAUAUAAAAUUUACUUUUAAUUUAAUAUUUUUUCAUUUAUUUCAAUAUUCUUUUACAAUACUAAUUAACUAUUAUAUAAAUUAUUUGAUCUAUAUUCUAUACAAAAAAAACCUUAAUUUAAAAUUAAUUUUAUUAAAUAAAUUAAUAAACAAAAAAAAAUUAAUAAAUCUUUAUUAUCAAAUUAAAUUGAAUUUCACAAUAUACUUUUCAAUGUAAAUGAAAUGCUUUACUUUUCAAGCUCUAAUUUGUCUUUCUAGAUACACCUUC
rnacentral:rRNA from 1 species